ACGUAGGGCGCAAGCGUUGUCCGGAUUUAUUGGGCGUAAAGCGCUCGUAGGUGGGAGCUUAAGUCCAUUUUGAAAGCUCGGAGCUCAACUCCGUGAUGGGAUGGAAACUGGGAUUCUUGAGGAUCGGAGAGGAAAGCGGAAUUCCCCGUGUAGCGGUGAAAUGCGUAGAUAUGGGGAGGAACACCAGUGGCGAAGGCGGCUUUCUGGACGAUGUCUGACACUGAGGCGCGAAAGCCAGGGGAGCGAACGG
rnacentral:rRNA from 1 species